rnacentral:rRNA from 1 species
GAUCCCUAGCUGGUCUGAGAGGAUGAUCAGCCACACUGGAACUGAGACACGGUCCAGACUCCUACGGGAGGCAGCAGUGGGGAAUAUUGCACAAUGGGCGCAAGCCUGAUGCAGCCAUGCCGCGUGUAUGAAGAAGGCCUUCGGGUUGUAAAGUACUUUCAGUCGUGAGGAAGGUAGUGUAGUUAAUAGCUGCAUUAUUUGACGU